AGUUUGAUCAUGGCUCGACGAACGCUGGCGGCGUGCUUAACACAUGCAAGUCGAACGAUGAAGCCCUUCGGGGUGGAUUAGUGGCGAACGGGUGAGUAACACGUGGGCAAUCUGCCCUUCACUCUGGGACAAGCCCUGGAAGCGGGGUCUAAUACCGGAUAUGACCUUCGAAGGCAUCUUUGAAGGUGGAAAGCUCCGGCGGUGAAGGAUGAGCCCGCGGCCUAUCAGCUUGUUGGUGGGGUGAUGGCCUACCAAGGCGACGACGGGUAGCCGGCCUGAGAGGGCGACCGGCCACACUGGGACUGAGACACGGCCCAGACUCCUACGGGAGGCAGCAGUGGGGAAUAUUGCACAAUGGGCGAAAGCCUGAUGCAGCGACGCCGCGUGAGGGAUGACGGCCUUCGGGUUGUAAGCCUCUUUCAGCAGGGAAGAAGCGAGAGUGACGGUACCUGCAGAAGAAGCGCCGGCUAACUACGUGCCAGCAGCCGCGGUAAUACGUAGGGCGCAAGCGUUGUCCGGAAUUAUUGGGCGUAAAGAGCUCGUAGGCGGCUUGUCGCGUCGGAUGUGAAAGCCCGGGGCUUAACCCCGGGUCUGCAUUCGAUACGGGCAGGCUAGAGUUCGGUAGGGGAGAUCGGAAUUCCUGGUGUAGCGGUGAAAUGCGCAGAUAUCAGGAGGAACACCGGUGGCGAAGGCGGAUCUCUGGGCCGAUACUGACGCUGAGGAGCGAAAGCGUGGGGAGCGAACAGGAUUAGAUACCCUGGUAGUCCACGCCGUAAACGUUGGGAACUAGGUGUGGGCGACAUUCCACGUCGUCCGUGCCGCAGCUAACG
rnacentral:rRNA from 1 species